CGGCGAUGAGGAACGAAACCUGUGCCGGAGGCGGAUGCGCCGGUGUUGGCAACACAACCCUCUAAGAAGUUCUGAGCCA
rfam:Brachypodium distachyon strain Bd21 chromosome 3, whole genome shotgun sequence.